rnacentral:lncRNA from 1 species
GGGCAAGGAGCGGGCCAGGGCUCGGCCGGGCCCUGCCGCCGUCGCCGCCGCGGAGUGGGGUGCUGGCUGGCUGAUAUUUACAUAAUAUCUCUGCUUAAAUGUGACCUCGUCCCUAAUUGGAAGUUUCCUUUCUAUUUUCUAUGGCAACACGACAGAACAGAUCACUCCAGUGGGCUGGAUCAGAGGAAUACCUGCACACACUAUGAUGUCACUAAUACCCCUCGGGAAGCUCUCCUUGCUGAUGAAAAGGAGAACAUUCCAACAGGACUAGGAGCUGUGGUGUUGAAAGUCCCAGAACAAACAUAGCUUGUGACUUAGCUACUGGUGCUGCUCAGUCUUCACCUUUAUAAAUUAAAAUCAAACACAACUGCCUCAGAAACCUGUGGACAAGAGAAAGGUACUUUGCAUUGCCAGCAUGUUGGUUGGUUAGGAAAAGAAUAAAUCUGCCAUACAGAGAUGAUUCUGUGAUUUU